CCCCCCCCCCCCCCCGUUAGCCGGUUAGCCUGUUAGCGUGUAACGUGUGGUCAUUCGUUCUCCAAGCACGCCAUUAGUUUUUUUUUUUUUUCUAUCACUCCAACGCGAGGGAGAACAGUGGACAACUUUUGAGUGCACUCUUCUUUCCAAUAACUCAAGGUUAAAUAAAGCGCUUUUUGUAAAGACUAAAAACUCGUAUUUAUUACCGAAAACCACCAGACAAACGUUGUGAAUCUGCUGCUUCUGUUGCACACAGCCGGCGAGCAUGUUGGGGGAACAGGAGACGUCUGAUCAGCGCCAGCUGUGCUGAGUUUGAAGCAUGAAGUCGCAGCUCUCGUGGUGCUUCUCUUCUGCAUACAGUGUCAUCAUCAUCAUCAUCAUCAUCAUCAUCAUCAUCAUCAUCUGAAAGGAGCAGCAUAACACUGCAGAGGGAUUUGGUGCUGGGGGAGAAACGUGUGAAAAGGUCGUCAACAACAGCUGUUUUCCCCACUGGACCUUCCACAGUGUCCUUGAACGCACCACUUGCCCCGUCGCCCCCCCAUGGUUCAUGCAAACAGAUGCUGAUCCGAGGCACGCGGUCCAGCAGCUGGAAGAAGCGGGCCGCAGAGAUCUUGGCCUUGGCGUAGUCCGGCGUGUAAGAGGAGGCCCUGCCGAGCGCCGUGCCGCUGGUGACGAUGGCCGAGAUCACCCUGCCGGAAAGGACCAUAACCACCGAUGAAAUCCCCCGAACCUCACCGCCAGGAUUUGACUGAACAGCAGAGAGUAGACCGGGUUGACCCCCCCAUUUAUGGCAGCACCUAAGGACCCAAAGAGCAUGUAGGGCCACUCGGGUGUGUUGUACUUCAGGAUCCUGGUGACUGGGGCCGGCUCCACUGGUUCCUCCUCCUCCUCUGGGACGGCGUCCUGAGCGUUCACACAGACAAACACGCGUCAGCCGGCAGUCGGAGCCGUUACGCCAUCCAAAGGCUCGGUGCACAAAAGAAAAGAACAUCCCAACACAAGUGGUUCGACGGUCCGGCGGUGCGGUAAUUGUUUUGGACCCGCUUAUAGAAUUGCGUACCGUGGAUUUGUCUGCCCGUGACACAGAGUAGGCUCUGGGGCCGAGCUCUCCGACCAUCGGGACCGAAGACCCCGGGAUCAGAUUGGACAGCUGAGACCGGGACCGCUGGCGAAUGGAGGCUCUGCAGAAGCAAAGAAAAACAAGUCCAAAAGAUAAAUAAAGAAAUAACACCCACUGAUUUCUAUCUCUUCAGGAAGAUGAAUAUUCAGAGAGCGCAGGAACGCAUUCAGCCGCCGGUGUUCUCCGUGCACUCAUCACUGGGAGCUUGUAACAGUGGCGUUCGAGGACCUGAAGCCUCCUCUCCUGUUUGCAGCACUUGUUAGGGCCCCUGGAUGAUAGGGUCAGCUAAAUGCUCCAAAUGUCACAGUCGUUGCAGGAGGGUAAUUAAGCGAACUGAAGGUCCCAGUAUCAAAAUAACUGCUGUAAUAAAUCCUAUUUAGAUGCACAGUCAAGACCAUGGACACAGAUAUUACAGUUUUCACAAAUAAACAGAUGAAGCGAU